GUUUUGACUCGAGUUGAUUGAAGUCAUUCUUGCUGGUCCAUGUUCAGAAAUGAUUUUUAAUGUCCGCCUGUGAAUAUGAUCCAUAAUAUUUGACUUUAGUCUCUGUUUUGUGGUUAUUUGUAUGUUCAUGAUGUGAGAAUGUUCAAUUGUUUUCCCUGAAGUUUCCAUUAAUAUUAAAACAAAACUCUUAGUUUCCAGUGACCAGUCUCACUUCAGGCUGACUGUAGAGCAUCUCCAGAUGUUGCUCACCAGAUGUCACCAAGAUCUCAUGUGGAAUUUCAAAAUAAAGGCCCUCCAAAGUUGGACAUUUUCCAUAGAAUUGUCCCUAAGUUUCUGUGUUUGUUGCUCGUUCUUCAGGAUGUUGUAGAAACAGCGAGGAAACUCUGUGAACCACACAGUCUUUCUGGUGGAUCAAGUUCAGCAGAAGACGAUUCAAAAGCUGCAAAAACAUUUAGAUUGCCAGAGAAGUGAUGAAGACUUUCCUGAUAUUCCAGCAUCAGGUUUGAAAGAUCCAAACUGGAAAUCAUAAAGUAAAGAGGAAUGGGUCAACAGAUACUGACUGCAUCAGGUUUGGUCCUGAAGGUUUGAUUUCAACAUUCUAAUAGACUUAUGCAUUAUUGUCCAACAAGGAAGUGACUAAAAAUAGUUCACUCUGAAGAUAAUAAUAUUUUAAAGUACAAAGGUUGUUAAGAAGGUGAAGAGGAGACGAAUAAUAUCUGAUUGGUUGAGCUGAGAAAUGAAAAGGCUGAAUGUGAUUCAAAUAAGUGAUAAAGUUCACAAUCACAUUUGACUCUUCAAGAGAAUUGUGUGUAAAUAAAUCAAACAAUGAUGUGUUUGAAGCUUUAAGGUCAAAAUGCAGGUAAAUCCAGUCAGAAAUGUUCUUUGUAUAAAACUAAACACUAGAACUCGACCUGACUGGAUAAAUGUGGAUCCAGCAACACAAUUCCCUCAAAAACUACGUUUCUACUGCAGCUUUGCAAAGUAUUACUGUGUGAAUGUAAAAUAUGUCGUAUUUAAUUGUAAUAUGUUUCUUCUGAGUGUUUUGUCUGGCUCCAUGUUACUUCAUUAGUUGGGUCCAUGUUUGGUUUGUGAUGAACAGAACUCCACAAUCAAAUCAAACCAUCCAGUGGCUCUAUUGUUGUGACGAUGCAUCCCAUGAUGUCCACUUGUGUUCAAGUGUCAGCUCAGUUUGUGUACAAGUACUAGAUUGUAUGAUGUGUUGAGUGUUGUAUCACAGUUUCAUGGUGGCUGGCUCUGCCUUCAGCAGGAGCAGUUCUGUUCGCACUUUCAUGUUUUACCAGAGCUCUUUGUAAUUAUAUUUUUAUAAAGUAUGCUAUAUUUUAAAACUACACACAUAUUUUACAUCCAACAUGUAGAUUUUUAUUCAAUAACAAUAAAAUGAAGUCAGCUCUUAUUAAAGAAGGAUGUGACAGUGUGAGGUUUGAAAUGUUAUUUUUCUUAUUAAAUGUAACAAUAGACAUCAUUAUGAUGAUGUCACUUUUAAAUGUGACUUGAAUUGUGUUUGAUUUGUGCAACAACUGUUCCAUGUGAUCUCUGCAAACCCACCUGGAGCACGGCCUCCAGGGAGACUAAAUAAUCAAAGAACAAAACUAUAAUGAUCCAAAGAGAAAUGACUUGUGAUCUGAAACAUAAAGAUCCAUGAAAUCAUGAUGAAAACACACUGAUCGUGACAUCAUCACAGAGAAAUCAUCUUCAGUGCUCUUUAUGAAAUGGAAGAAGUUACAGGAAGCAGCUUUAUGUCGUCCACAUGACGUUUAUCAUUUGAAAUGAUGGAGUCAUUU